GUCGAAACAAAAAGUAUGGGAAUUAAAUCUGUAGGUGUCACUUCAGUUACGUUAACUCCGAAUCUUUAAGUCUGAACUCCGAACCUGACUUGUGACACUGUAGGUGUUAAUCCGCCCCUCCCCCUCAUGUCCGUCACACACCGACUGAAUCAAGCCAGUGAGUCUCCGAGUUCAACAAGGAGGCAGACACUUCGUCCAUGACCGUGGUGUUAUAGCAUAACAUGUUCGGAACAAUUCUAUGCUGAGGCCAACGCUGGCUAUCUAGCUUGGAGACUCAAAACAGUCCAACGCACCACCGAUGACGGCUUUCGUCGGCGUUCCAGGAACGAUUUCCAGGACAGCCCAACAACCCAACGAGAGACUGUUCAUUGGUGGACAGCUCUUUGCGCUUUCUUGACACACCCGGAUUGAUUGAACAGGAUUUCUCAAUGAUGUUUGGGGCUGAAGUAUCUGGGGAGUUUCCUGCAAAGUGGCCUUCAUAUUUCAAGGACAAAGUCAUCGCAGAAUGCCAGAGUCUUCUCCAAAGUCUCCAUGUCGAGGAGUUGCUGGCUUUUGACACUGAGGCUGAGAAUGACUUUGGCUUGUUCUCUUUAAAGGAGCUGGAUGGACUGAAGACGGGAGCGAUGAGCAGAGACACAGUCGGUGGUCAGAGCGGUGAAAUAAAGAUUCUUGCCAAAGCUCCCUCUGGUUGCGCAUUCCUUGGUGCUUAGGGGCGAAACCUACUGGUGACGGGCACAAUCCUGUCACAGUCAGCUCUUCUGUUGCAUCUCCUGCCUCCUACAUCAAGAGGCCACAAAAAACAGCCAAAGGAAGCUCAGCCCAGGCAGCCAACCAUCCUGUAAGGUGUAUUAAGGAAGGAGCCAGCAUCACUACAUUCCUGGAGAAAGUUGGUGCUAGACAGCCCUUCCUCCUCUGCAUCUGUGAGCAAAAGAAGAACAUCGAAAGAUUCUUCAUUGUGGACCAGAAAGCUGUCCCCUUCAAUGCUCGGACAUCGGCGGCUGCUGUUGGUGUGUUAUUCAAAGCUCACUAUGUCUUCAGCAUCUCCUACAAUGAAGCUCUUUCCAGUUUCUACACCCUCAUUCAAACCACGGUGUACAACAUCGAUGUACUUUGAUGACCAUUUCCAUGCAUAUAGAGGAGCAAAGCAGCGAAUGUGUUCUGAUUGGUCUUGACAAACUGCCAUAUGUUAGACCUUUUGAUGAACUUCUCUAAUGAGAGUGACAGAGCAUACAUUGUUCCAUAUU